rnacentral:lncRNA from 1 species
UGUAAUCUAAAAAAUAUUUUCAAAAAUCUCAUCGAGUUCGUGUCGGAUCCUUCAAAAGUAGUGAAUUUUUGAAGGAUCUAAUACGGGUGCCACAACAUUUUUCAAGAGUCCGAGCAACUUAGGACUGAUUUCUUAGAUUAAUACUCUCCUUUUGUUUCUUAUGAGAGGAUAUACAAGUACAUAGUUUCUGAAGGAUCGGUUAAUGAAAAAUAUGAGUAAAGUAGUUGGGAGGAUGUACUUUUUUGUUAUUUUAAAUUGCUAUUUUUAGAUAUUUUGAUUUGAUCAUACGUGAUUUGGUCAAUUUUGAUCUGCAGUGGGAGGAUCGUCAGUAGAAAGGCCUCUUUUGCUAGGAUGUCACCGCUUGCGAAACCAAGGUUGAUUAUCAUUACUCUUUUUUUUUUUUUUUUUUUUUUUGUUUUUUUUUUUUUUUUUUUUUUUUUUUUUUUUUUUGGUUAUUGUAAUUGAUAAGGUUUUUUUUUCCAGUUUUAGUUGUUGCGUACACGUUCUGCUUUAGUUAUUGCCAGUUAGAUAGACUUGGUUGUAAAAAAGCUGGCUUGACAAAAUCUAUCUACGGGACUAUUCAAUGUAUUACUAUUAAUUGUUCAGAAGAUAAUACUUGUUCCGUCCAUAUUUACUUGUUCAUAUUUCACUUGACACACCCUUACGAAGCAAUAAAUACAGUGGUAUGGGAAAUAAAUAGUACAUAAUUGUAAGGAGAAAAAUAGGUAUAUUAUCUCUUGUUUUUCCAAACUAGACAAGUAAAAGUAAAAGUAUAUUUUUAGUAUAGUGACAAGUAAACAUGGAUGGAGGGAGUACUAACUACUAUGAUAACAGGAAAUGAGUAGGGUAAUAUUGAAAUGGUGGAAGAUCAUGUAAUUCUGGUAAUUUGGAUCACGUCUUUGGGGGUUAACAUGGUUAUUGAUCACAAACAUCAAAAUACACAAAGGGUUGAAUCAAUUCUCAGGUUUAUAAACCAAGGUUAAGGAAUAUGUACUCAUUUAUGUUAAUAUUAUAACAUAGUGAGUGGUUAAUAUGAAGUGUUGAAAAUUGGACUAGCAUUUGUUGUCGGUGUGUGGAAGUGUGUGUUGUGAUAUUUCUCAGGACUUGCUUUUCAAGUUGUUGCUUCGGAGUCUUACUGAUUCUUACUGGAAAGAAAGGAUGCUUCAUUUGAGAAUCGACAAUUUAAUUUGAAAAUAAAGGGUUGUAGGUGAUUCCUGGAGAAUAUGGGUUUCGUUGCUCAACUGAAUGAGGGAAGGCACCUCAAGAAGAGGCCAACUGAGUUUCUUAGCUUGUUUACACAUAUUCUGUAACUAUUUAAGUAAGUAGAAACUGGUUAAUGAGUAUAUUGGUUAUUAAUGCCACAGGUGAGUCCCGUCGAGUAUGGACACUUGCUUUUGAUCGGCCUUCUGGUAACGCAUUGCAAGUAUGAUUUCCAAGUCUUAUUUGGUUUUUACUCUUCAAUUUUCCACCAUUAAUAGCAAAGUACUAUUGCAGCGCCUUUUACUUCGAAAAAAAAAAAAAUAGGUGCAUUCUUGAUUUGUGUGUGUCAUAUAUUCUUCCACAGAAAUCGUGUUGAUCUUCUCUACAUCGUUCUAAUUUAUCGGAUGUCCUCGAAAGGACACCUUUUACUUUCUGAAAUGUAGGAAUGGUUUAAACGUUUAAUAAGUUCUUGGCAAUUGGUGGAAGGUUAAAUACACUUGCUUUGAUAGCUCAUUCUUAAUUACAAUAUGGUGCAUAUAGAAGAUUAUUAUAGAAUAGAACUAGCCAUUAAACUACAAGUGUUACAGUUUUAGAGUACAUUAAGAGAAAAAGCACAAACUAUACAAGCACUCCAUUAUAUAUAGUGCUUGAUAGAGCAACAGCACGUACAUUCACCACUUAAUCCAACAUUUUACUAAAUCAACUUGUCUCAUAGCACAAACAGCGGUAAGCUUGCUUACCGUGGUGUGCCAGGGUCGGGGGUUCGAAACGCCCCUCAAGCGAAGCUGGGGUGAGGGCGAGUAGGUCAGGCCCGGAGUGGUUCCCCCCUCCCCGACACCUACGGAGUAGGUAUGAACCGGGUCGUCCCUUUUUCAUAGCACAAACAGAACUGGAUUACACAUUUAAUAUAACAACAACAAAAAGGGAUUUCAGGAAAAAAAUUUAUUGCAUUUAAUCAGAUUUGAAGGGAGUUGUAGAUCCAUCAACUUUGUCUUCCAUUCUCAAUUUCUCCCUCCUCUGUCAUCAUUCACAAAACAAGACACAAGUUAGAUAAUUCAACAUGCUGUCUAUUUUUAGAUAGACCACUCUAUAAUAUUCGAAAAAAAUUUCAUGUUCUGUUAUAUUAUAUGUUCUCUAUGAUAACAUUUUGUUAUAGCAGUCAACCAAUCACAAAGUAUUUGAACAAACGACGUUUGUAUAAAGAGAUUUUUUGUAUUUCUUUCUGCCUUAGGAAAAAGAAAUCAGAAUCCUUCUAUAUUGAUUCUUUGUUUGAUUUAAAGGAUUACUCAGGCACAAGCCAAUUAAUGUGACGUUUCUUUGACCUUAAGUUCAUCAAUUUGUAUUUGUCUUAGAAAUCAAGAUGUUAUGAAGAUGUUUUCGGACAAAGGCAUUCUCACAGAAAACUCCUUUAAAAGUUACAGAGACAAGUGAUGUGGUUAUUACAAUGUUACCAUCACGAAACCAUGUGAGAGUUGCAUACCAUUUUUAUAGCUCUUAUUGUAUCACACACACUCAUAUUUCUAAGGCUGAUUAAUUAUCCUGAAUCCUUCAUCAUUGAUGUCAAUGUAUCCCUGUC